rnacentral:lncRNA from 1 species
UAGAAUUUUUUCUGUGUGAACUGUUCAAAAAGAGAAGGAAAAUAGACUUUUUAUACCUAACAUUUUUUUCAUUAUUCCUUUAUACCUAGAUACAGUUGAUAACAUUCCCCUACAUAAAUGUGUUACCCUGACAACCAUCAAAAUGUAUUUAUUUAUAAUUCACACAUACUAAAUAAAAUCAGUAGUUUGUUGGCAACAUUCUUUAGAAUCCUUACUCUACAUUUUUUUCUAACUUGAGAUACACAUUCUCCAUAUGUACUGAGAAAUGUUAAAUAUAACUAAUGGGGACAAAUGAUUAUUAUUAUCUUUUGCCUUGGCUUUUAAAGAAAUAUACUUUGAAAACAGAAAGUAAAGCUAAGUAAUUAAGGCACAAAACAAGACAAGCAU